rnacentral:rRNA from 1 species
AACUUUUCAGCUAGAGUAUGAUAGAGGAAAGCAGAAUUUCUAGUGUAGAGGUGAAAUUCGUAGAUAUUAGAAAGAAUACCAAUUGCGAAGGCAGCUUUCUGGAUCAUUACUGACACUGAGGAACGAAAGCAUGGGUAGCGAAGAGGAUUAGAUACCCUCGUAGUCCAUGCCGUAAACGAUGUGUGUUAGACGUUGGAAAUUUAUUUUCAGUGUCGCAGGGAAACCGAUAAACACACCGCCUGGGGAGUACGACCGCAAGGUUAAAACUCAAAUGAAUUGACGGGGACCCGCACAAGUAGUGGAGCAUGUGGUUUAAUUCGAAGAUACGCGCAGAACCUUACCAACACUUGACAUGUUCGUCGCGACUCUAAGAAAUUAAAGUUUUCGGUUCGGCCGGACGAAACACACGGGCUGCGUGGGUUUGCG